GAUGAACGCUGGCGGCGUGCCUAAUACAUGCAAGUCGAACGCUGAAGGAGGAGCUUGCUCUUCUGGCUGAGUUGCGCACGGGUGAGUAACCCGUAGGUAACCUGCCUGGUAGCGGAGGACAACUAUUGGCAACGAUAGAUAAUACAGCCUGACAACAGUUAUUGCAGGAUAACCGUCUAAAAGGAGCAACUGCUCCACUACUAGAUGGACCUGCGUUGUAUUAGCUAGGUGGUGGGGUAACGGCUCACCAAGGCGACGAUACAUAGCCGACGUGGGAGGGAGAUAGGCCACACUGGGACUGGGACAAGGCCCAGAAUCCUACGGGAGGGAGCAGUAGGGGAUCUUCGGCAAUGGACGGAAGGCUGACCGAGCAACGCCGCGUGAGUGAAGAAAGUUUUCGGAUCGUAAAGGUCUGUUGUGAGAGAAGGACGAGUGUGAGAGUGAAAAGUUCACACUGUGACGGUACCUUAACAAAAAGGGACGGCUAACUACGUG
rnacentral:rRNA from 1 species